GGUGGCAAUUUUGCUACAAAUGUCCAAUAUGGUACACACAAUACCAAUGAGCAACACGAGGCAAAUUCCCCAAUGUCACCACUUUUAAGGCCAACCAGCUCAGUUCGUGGCCAGAGUUGCACUGUUGAUCUUGAGUCUGCACAUAAAGUGUUGCCUGGUGCAAGUCAGUUGUCACUGCAAGUUUUAUGCGGGGAAUCUAUGCACCCAGAUGUUGAUGCAUUUAUAAAAUCCACAUUAGGCUCUGAAGCUCCUGCAGAGGUGCACCAGCAUUUGAGGAUCUUGUGCUUGAGUUUUUUCAAGGAUUCUGUUCAGCAAUAUGUCAAAUCUAUCGAACCUUUGCUUGUGAGCCAGUGUUGUGAUAUGGUGAAAUCUUUUUGUACUGGCUUGGAGCAAU